AGCGAACGUUUGCGGCGGGCUUAACACAUGCAAGUCGAACGAGAAUCCCUUCGGGGAGGAAAGUGGCGCACGGGUGCGUAACACGUGGAUAACCAACCCAUUGGUUUGGGACAACACCGGGAAACUGGUGCUAAUACCAGAUGUGUCGCAGCUGUCUUCAGGCGGUUGCGAGAAAGGCCCGCAAGGGUCGCCAACGGACGGGUCCGCGUCCCAUCAGCUAGUUGGUGAGGUAAUGGCUCACCAAGGCAAAGACGGGUAGCUGGUCUGAGAGGAUGAUCAGCCACACUGGAACUGAGACACGGUCCAGACUCCUACGGGAGGCAGCAGUGGGGAAUAUUGCGCAAUGGGCGAAAGCCUGACGCAGCCACGCCGCGUGAGCGAUGAAGGUCUUCGGAUCGUAAAGCUCUGUGGGGGAGAAGAAGAAAGCCGGUGAAGAGCCGGCCUGACGGUAUCCCCUUAGCAAGCACCGGCUAACUCCGUGCCAGCAGCCGCGGUAAAG
rnacentral:rRNA from 1 species